GGCGUAGGCGGCCUGACAAGUGGGGAGUGAAACCCUUCGGCUCAACCGAAGACCUGCUUUCCAAACUGUCGGGCUCGAGUCCGGGAGGGGAGACGGGAAUUCCUGGUGUAGCGGUGAAAUGCGCAGAUAUCAGGAGGAACACCGGCGGCGAAGGCGCGUCUCUGGACCGGUACUGACGCUGAGGCCCGAAAGCGUGGGGAGCAAACAGGAUUAGAUACCCUGGUAGUCCACGCUGUAAACGAUGGGCACUAGGUGUGGGGAGUAUCGACCCUCCCCGUGCCGCAGCUAACGCAUUAAGUGCCCCGCCUGGGGAGUACGGUCGCAAGGCUGAA
rnacentral:rRNA from 1 species